CUAAGAAUGCCUUGUUUGAACUACACACACAACUACCCCAGUUUACUUUUGCUUUCUUACAACAUUCCCAUGUUCUUGUUGCAGAAAAGUAAUCCUUAUAAACCUCAGUAUCAUGCCUCCAGAGGAAUUUAUCAUCACCCAAUCGCUGAUCAUGGACGGGUUCUACUUGAAUUUUGGCAUUAAGCUCUUGGAAAUGACGGCUCCUCUGCCCCCCUUACACUCUACUGUUCCUGUAGAACAGCAUCACACACCCUUGCACUUCGAAAAAUCUCAAGAUAGCGUGUGCCAACUGCACCUGUUACUUUGAUAAGUUUGCCAACAUGCAGCCAAUCAUCUUGCCAGAAGAAAGCUCUUGCACCAUUACCAACUUCCACCCUGAUAAACUGAAAUGCCAGAGUACGCAUCUUAAGGAGUUUACUCCAUAUCCAUGAUCAUGUAGAUUCAUCACGCACAUCCCAAAACGAGCUAUGACGUAGGAGAUAAUGCUGAAUCCAUGAAACUGACAUAGAGCCUGACAUAUUAAAUAUGUGCCAUAUCAAAUUAAGAGCAAAGACCCCGACAUAAUCAUAUAGUCUCCUAAAAGCAUCUCCAACUCUACUUCAUAAUUUACUGCAAAAUGGAGUGGAAAAUAUAGUAGUGAAGAAACAAAAAAGUGUUUACUCCAUAAAUGGAAUAAUAAUUUUUGUUUUUGUUUUUUCAUUGCUAUAUUUAUCACUUCAUUUUGUAGUAAAUUAUGUAAUAGGAAUGGAUAUGCCCUAAUACCAAGUCCCCCCCCCCUC
rnacentral:lncRNA from 1 species